rnacentral:rRNA from 1 species
AUUGAACGCUGGCGGCAGGCCUAACACAUGCAAGUCGAGCGCGAAAGUCUUCGGAUGAGUAAAGCGGCGAACGGGUGAGUAAUGCAUGGGAAUCUGCCUGGUAGUGGGGGACAACGUCUCGAAAGGGACGCUAAUACCGCAUACGCCCUACGGGGGAAAGGGGGGGAUCUUCGGACCUCUCGCUAUCAGAUGAGCCCAUGCCGGAUUAGCUAGUUGGGGGGGUAAAGGCCCACCAAGGCGACGAUCCGUAGCUGGUCUGAGAGGAUGAUCAGCCACACUGGAACUGAGACACGGUCCAGACUCCUACGGGAGGCAGCAGUGGGGAAUAUUGGACAAUGGGGGCAACCCUGAUCCAGCCAUGCCGCGUGUGUGAAGAAGGCCUUAGGGUUGUAAAGCACUUUCAGUGGGGAGAAAGGUGAUUCACCUAAUACGUGAGUCAAUUGAUGCUACCCACAGAAGAAGCACCGGCUAACUCCGUGCCAGCAGCCGCAGUAACAC